GUCCGUAUCGAUUAGGGGUUAAAUCACUUCGUUGUGGAACAUCUCCUGCUCCGAAGAGCCGCUGGUUCGAUUCCAGCUACGGACA
rnacentral:tRNA from 2 species